UAAAAGCAUAUUGUUUUUUAAUUAACUAAUAUAUAGUCUUUCAUUCAUUUACUUACUUAUCUUAAAAAUAAUGAAAUAUAAAAAAGGUUUAAAGUUGAGAAUAGUUUUGAUCUUUACUAGUGCGAUUCUAUUGCCAAGUUUCUUGAAGGUGAUUAAUCAUUUCUCGAUACAAAUGUUGCAAAAAAUAGUUAAUUUUUUAUUAUGGUUAAAUGUUUAGUUUUCUUUUUAAGGGUAAAUUACUAUCAUAAAUUACAUAAAAACUUUUGAUCUGUAAUUAUAUACAUAAUGCUCACUUUACAAAUAAACAUAAUUUACACAAAAUUUGUGAAUUGAUUAAAACACUAAUGUAUUGCUUCUAUGCCCAAUAAAACUUACACUAAAUUGUCCCAUAUCAAUUACACUAGUGUUAUCUUUUGAAUUUAGAAAUAGAAGUUAUUAAAUGUUGGUGGCUCAUAAUGCAGUGCAUUUAAGAAGGGCAUGCUUUCAAAGGUUAAGACUACUUUCCUGAUUCCUACAACAA